ACAUUCCCGUUUGUAAGCGAAGCCUUGCUGUAGCACAGGCUGGGCCCCCUGCCUGGAAAUCCGUACCCGCCUCUUCUCUGGACUUUAUCAUCACCUCCUCUGUGAAGCCUUCUCGGCCCCUGACAGUACCUGUGCCUCUGUGGUGACAGGUUCUCUCUCUGUGAAAGCUCCAUGUUCUCUAGAGGGUACUGCGUGGAGGAAGCAGCCCUAAUAAGCCCGCAGGGAUGAAGGCCAUGGAAAGUGAUGUGUCCGUGCCCUCUGACUCAGGCUGACAGCCGAGCUGGCUGUGGCGAUGAGCUCACGGUGACCUCGAAGCGUGGAUUGAUGGGGACAGGCCUGCUGCUUUUUUGUCCUGUGUCUCCGGGUCUUCCAGUGGACACGGGGCACACAGCCUCACCUGCCACGCCCGCCAUGCCCAUCCUAACUGUGACCCAGUCUCCUGUGACCCACGCUGGAGGGCCAAGGUCUGGAGCCCGGCCAACUAUGACUAACAAGGGCUGUAAGGAGAGGUGGAUGAAGUGGAACCGUGAGACUGGUCCUUGGCCUUGAGCAGCUAGAGCUAUUCCUCAUGGCCUCAAAUAUUCAUGAACUGAGGGGCAACUUCCUGUGUGAAAGCAGGGGUCCUGGCCUCAGAGCCAGCCCUGCUUUUUACUUGCUGUGGAACAAGCAAUAGGGCUUUUCCGAGCCUCAGUGGCUUCGUCUAGAACACUGGGGUCAUGGAGCUUUUAGGAUUAUUAGGUACUUCCCCUGUGCCUUAUCCUUGGAAUUCUCACGGCACCCUCAGAAGUUGGGGGUAUCAUGCCCACUUUGCAGAUGAGGCAAAGUGAGGCACAGAGAGGAGAAAUAACAUGCCCAAGGUCCUGCAGCAGAUAAUCAGCAGAGCUGGAAAUGAGCUCAAGCCAGCCUGGCACCAAAGCCCACCGCAGCUGCUUUUAUAGGCUUUGUGACUGCACAGGCUGUAGUCUUCCCUCUCCGUGGAGGGAGGCAGGGCCCUUCCCGUAAAUACUGCUGCUAUUUGCCUGUGGAACCGUUACUGUGAGAGGUCCCUUUAUAUGCUGCGCUUGUGAUCUUGUUCCUGAGAAGGGACUCAGGUGCAUGGGGACGUUAGGUGGGCAGGUAACCGCCAGGGUGGCAGAGCUGGGUUCCAGGCUGACAGGGGAUCCCACUCUCCUUAAAGGAGUGAGGUGCCCAGGGCUGGACCAUCAGCAGUUCAUGGAGCCUUUUACCCUGUGGUCCUUGCAGCCUCCUCCCAGCCCUGCCGUUAUCUGCCUGAGAGAGAAGAAACGGAGGCCAGGGAGAGCAGGGGGCUUGCUCCUCCCGCUGCCCCAACCUGCUCAGUCUGGAAGGCACAUGGGGAAGUGGCAGGGAAAAGCUUGCCAGCAGGAUUGGACUUACGUUGGCGAGCUGAGCUGUGACCUCUGCAAGGGCUGGGCGUUCCUUCCAGGGAACUCAAGGCGGGGCAGAUGGGUUGAAGUGAGAUCAGAGGGCAGGCCAGGCCAGGGAGAGGAGAGGGGGUCAGGUCUCGGGGGGCGGUUAUGGGAAGAGGAAGAGAGCCUGGAAAGGCCAGGAAUGGGGCUUGGCCAGGGGAUUGCUCAGCAGAAGUUUUAAACUGGGCCAUGGGGCUUGGCCAGGGGAUUGCUUAGCAGAAGGUCUAAACUGGGGCCAUGGGGGAGAGUGUGGAGCUCAGGGAUCCGAGGCAUCUCGGUACAAAUUAUGCCUGUGCUGGUUGUGAGGGUGGGGAGUUGGAGCAAGCAGUCCCCCUGAGCCUCGGUGUCCUCUGUAAAAGGGCUGAGGAGCAGUGAGUGGUCACGGGAGCAUUUCCUGCAUGAGAGCCUGGCUUUACCUCUUACCAGUGUGACCCGGGGCAAAUGGACUCAUCUCUCUGGGCCCCAGUUUCCUCAUCUGUAAGAUGGGCCUGAUAGGAAUGGUACCUACCACACCCGGUUGUGAGCAUUUCAGAGUCUAGAAGGAUCUGUCGCAAGCUUCCAGACUCUUCAUCUAAUCAGCGCUGUCAUCAUCAGUAUCAUCUUCUUCACUGUGGCACACCUCAAAGUGUUCUAGGAAGGCUUAAACAAGGCUGCUGAUGCCAACUGGCUGGCACAGGCAUUAUUCGAUGCGGUCAUCCCUUGGUGCCUGCAGGGGCUUGGUUCCGGGACCCCUGUGGGUACCAAAAUUGGAGGACGCCCAAGUCCCUUACAUAAAACGGCGCAGUAUUUGCAUGGGACCUACACAUAUCUUUCCACAUGCUGCAGAUCAUUCCAGAUGCCUUACAAAACCUAAUGCGAUGCAAAUGCCGUGUAAACAGUUGCCAGCAUAUGGCAAAUUCAAGUUUUGCCUUUUGGAACUUCCUGGAUUUUUUUUUUUUUUCCAGAAUAUUUUUGAUCCACUGUCGGUUGAACCCAUGGAUGUGGAAGGCCAGCUAUAAUUAGGGGCAGAGUGACUGGUGCUAAGCUCUGGAUGGUGGGUGGUGCUGUGAGACUCAGAAGGCAGAAUUUCGGCCUGGCUGGGGGAUGGGUGUGGAAGGCUUCCUGAGGGAGGUGGCCUUUCCUGGACCUCAAAGGAAGGAUGCGUACAAGUUCUCAGAUGGAGGGGGGGGGGUGUGGGUAGAGUGAGGAACUUGAGUGAAACUUGGUGGUGAGAGAGCCCGAGCAUGGGACCAUGGAGUCAGUUUAUGAGGCUGUGUGUCUGGGGUGAGGGGCAAGGCACGAGGCUGCCUGGGGGGCUGGGUGCCGAAUGCCUCGUCUGGAGAUUAAACUUGGUCCAGUA
rnacentral:lncRNA from 1 species